rnacentral:rRNA from 1 species
UACGGAGGGUGCGAGCGUUGUUCGGAAUCAUUGGGCGUAAAGCGCGUGUAGGCGGCUUGGCAAGUCGGUUGUGAAAUCCCGGGGCCCAACCCCGGAACUGCAAUCGAAACUGCCUCGCUAGAGUCCCGGAGAGGAAGGCGGAAUUCCCGGUGUAGAGGUGAAAUUCGUAGAUAUCGGGAGGAACACCAGUGGCGAAGGCGGCCUUCUGGACGGUGACUGACGCUGAGACGCGAAAGCGUGGGGAGCAAACAGG